GUUCCUAUUUACUUGCAAUAAAUACUAUAAGGUAUACUAUGUUGCAGGUUAAGCAGGAUGCAUUCUUUCCUGCAGAUCUGCUUUUCUUGGCUAGCACCAAUGCUGAUGGUGUCUGCUACAUUGAGACUGCUAAUUUGGAUGGGGAAACCAAUUUGAAGAUUAGGAAAGCAUUG